rnacentral:rRNA from 1 species
AUUGAACGCUGGCGGCAGGCCUAACACAUGCCAGUCGAGCGGAUGAAGGGAGCUUGCUCCUGGAUUCAGCGGCGGACGGGUGAGUAAUGCCUAGGAAUCUGCCUGGUAGUGGGGGAUAACGUCCGGAAACGGGCGCUAAUACAGCAUACGUCCUGAGGGAGAAAGUGGGGGAUCUUCGGACCUCACGCUAUCAGAUGAGCCUAGGUCGGAUUAGCUAGUUGGUGGGGUAAAGGCCUACCAAGGCGACGAUCCGUAACUGGUCUGAGAGGAUGAUCAGUCACACUGGAACUGAGACACGGUCCAGACUCCUACGGGAGGCAGCAGUGGGGAAUAUUGGACAAUGGGCGAAAGCCUGAUCCAGCCAUGCCGCGUGUGUGAAGAAGGUCUUCGGAUUGUAAAGCACUUUAAGUUGGGAGGAAGGGCAGUAAGUUAAUACCUUGCUGUCUUGACGGUACCAACAGAAUAAGCACCGGCUAACUUCGUG